UAUCUAGAAGCAUAGAACUACGGUGGCAAAAAGUAGUCCAGCAGCACUUCACAAUUACAUGCAUACAUGAUUUCACUUGUGAAUGGCUCAAUGCUACCUAUUGGGGGUUGUUAAGAAUGGGUGUAAAAUAGCUAAGCACCUGUGGCAACAUAAAUUUUACAACCAAGCAUAAGCACCUGGCACAUAGAGUUGACAAAUAGUAAUGAUGAUCUCCACAAAGCACAAACGUCAUGCAAAUAUGGUGGACACCCAUGGGUAAGCAAAUCCCAAAGAAUGUAGUCCUUCAAAAAGCAGAUGGACCAUUCCACAUACAGAUAAAUAUGAAGUAAAAGUCAAACAACGUAAUAGCAAGCUCCUAUAAAUUGUCAAAAAUCACAAAGAUGUUGAACAAAAGAUUGCCAGUUAAAACAGAAGAAUUUGAGACAACAUCAUAC
rnacentral:lncRNA from 1 species